GGGAGAGACAGGGAGAGGAAAGGAGGAUCCAGCCCGGAGGACAGGGUCCAGGAGAGACCGCGAAAAAACAGCUGGAGCCCAGAGAGCCAGAUCAGUACUGAAGAGCAAGGGCCUUGUUGCUGGGAGUCUAUCCUGACCUACGCUGCAUGCAAGAAGAGUCAUUGUACCCAGCAUGGGAAGCAACACACAGAGCCUCCUCUCGGCUCAACAGCAGAGCACCCACAAACUCACGCGCCUUUGCUGUGGCUCUUCAGUAACUUGGUUUAUACAAGGACAGACGGUGGAAAAGUCACCUGGAUACCCCUGCCUAUCUGAAGCCUUUGGAGGAGGACGAGCAUGACUGGGAAUAGUAACUCAAUGAGACAGGCUCAGUGGAUUGCCAACACAGGCCCGAUGACCCGAGUUCAAGUUCUGCCACUUGCAGUGGAAGGCGAGAGCUGACUCCCGACAGCCAUCAUGUGACCUCCUUAUGCAUACAGUGGCACCCCCUGUCCCCAGUAAUGAUAAUAAAACAAAACUUGAAAAAGUGA